CGAGAGGCCCAAACGUUAUUCGGAUUUACUGGGCUUAAAAGAGUUCGUAGGCGGCGCGGAAAGUAGGGUGUGAAAUCCCUCGGCUCAACCGAGGAAUUGCGCUCUAAACUACCGUGCUUGAGGAAGCUAGAGGUGAGCGGAACUGAUGGUGGAGCGGUGAAAUGCGUUGAUAUCAUCAGGAACACCGGAGGCGAAGGACGGCUCACUGGGGCUUAUCUGACGCUGAGGAACGAAAGCCAGGGGAGCGAACGGGAUUAGAUACCCCGGUAGUCCUGGCCGUAAACGAUGAGCACUGGGCCGGAGGACUGCACAGUUUUCCGGCCGUAGCGAAAGUGUUAAGUGCUCCGCCUGGGGAGUAUGGUCGCAAGGCUG
rnacentral:rRNA from 1 species